UGUCCAUGACUCCUCAGAAGACUUCAUAAGGAAAACAGUCCAACAUUUGAUCCUGCCAGAGAUAUAGAGAUUCAAGAUUUGGAGUGUGUGCUCUCAGGACUUAGAAACUAAAGGCUGAUCCAGUUCUUGGAAGAAACCAUCAUCCUGGGUCCAUCCUGAUGACUGAAGAGGGCAUCCACAUGUGUGAAGGGACCCUGUAACUCACAUCCUCAGAUCCAGUCAUGGAUGCACAUGGGUGGAAAGCAACCUGGCAUCCAGUUUUCCAGGCAUAUUUGAAAUUAAGAUUCCUGAGAGGAAGCAAGAAGACGACACUGGACAAGAUA